rnacentral:lncRNA from 1 species
GACCUUUUCUUCCUAUUUUGCAUUAUCGAUUAUUCAUUCUAAUCAUUGGUACAUUUUAGGUAUACAAUAUAAUGACAUUCAUCAUUGGAAAUUUGCACCUUUACAUAAUCUCUCUUGGUUCUUAUUUUUUGCCCUUGCCCAGCCCUCCCUGCAACCCCUCCAUUACCUCCCUAUUUACAAAGAUUUUGUUCCUAUUUUUCCAUUUUCUCAUAUUAAUCCCAUUCCUUUCUAUCCUUUCUCCUAGCCCUCCCACUUCCUUCCCCUUUGCCCCUUUUCUUCCUAUCCUCAAGUAAACCUCAUCUUGAGGGAAAAUCCUUUGUGACCCUAAGACCCCCUCUGUUGUCCAUGCCUAUCAGGAAUCCGCCUGCUCCCCAGCUCCUGGUUGACCAACUUCCCAGCCCAUUCCACACCUCUGCACUUCUUGAAGCUUAUCCUUACUUUGUUGGAUUCUUCUAGAGUCAGUGCGCUCUCUCCCACCUGGCUAUGUGCCCAUACUGAGCCACCACCCUCUGGUGUGCCUAUUCUAGGAGUUUUCUCAACUUGCUAGGCCUUUUGCUGCUCCUCCACCCAGGAUCCUAUCUUGAGCCACUUCUCGAUGUCCUCUCUCCCCAGGGGACCUGUGUGUGUUCCUGGGGACAAAACCCACUGCCACCUGCUCUGUGUUGACACCUGCUUAUGAUGAACCCUGGUGACAGUUGCAUUUUAACCUUCAGCCCAUAUUUCUCUUUUGAGCUACAGGACCCCUUUCAUCCUUUUGUUGGGCUAAUGAGAAGUAAUGCUUAGAAAGUAGCCAUGGUGAUCCCAGGCUUCACACUGAGGGAGGUGGCAGUGUAGAAGUUCUCCCCAGUGCUCACCUAGAGCUGCAGUCCUGGGAUGUAACCACCCCUGUGUCCUUGUCCUUGCUGAGGGACAGUCCCCAAGCCCCUUUGCUAGUGCUGGCUUUUGUGCUGAGCUAGGGGACCCGACCAAAGAUGAAAACAAAAUAAGCAGAACAACAACAAAAGUAAGCCGAGGCCCAUUGGUCUUCUUUUGAGAUUUUGGCCAGAACACUGAUGACUGUCCCAGUUAAACUCCGGGAGCUGAGCAGAGAUGUCCCCCAGAUUGGGAAAGAGGAAAGCUCAUUUAUGAACAGCAGUGGGCCAGGCCAGAGCCUCAGUCUCUACAGAGCUUCUGGUCCAAGUGCAACAGUAAGGCACUAGCAGUGAGACAGACCCAGCAGGAACCAACAUUGCGGAUAUCCUACAGCCAGUUGAAGACAGCUUUGUGUGGACCGUCAGUCAAUCUGUCAGAACGGGGAUAUAUGGGAGUAAGAGG